GCUUACGGCCAUACCACCCUGAGAACGCCCGAUCUCGUCUGAUCUCGGAAGCUAAGCAUGGUUGGGCCUGGUUAGUACUUGGGUGGGAGACCGCCUGGGAAUACCAGGUGCUGAAAGCU
rnacentral:rRNA from 1 species